rnacentral:sRNA from 1 species
GAGACAAAGGAAUUGAAAAAAUAGCAUUCUCAACUCGAGGUAAAUUGAAUUUUUUUGUCUUCACUGUGGUUUGCUGAGCAUUUAUGCAACCAACUUGAUGAUUGCAAUGCGCGAAACAAUUUAUCAUUGUCUCACCCAUUCGUUCCUGUACGUAUUGUAUUCACUGUAUACGCAAACACCCCAACAGUGACCCAAGAGGAAAUAUCCGAACUCCGAAUCAUAUCUGCAACCGCCAGUGGGCUAGAACUUGCCUCCUAGCCCUCUUGAGGCCUCUAUGACGGCAGGCGGGCCACUCGGCUGGCUAGCUGCGUGAGCCAUAGGAAGUUGGGAAACCAGUACUUCCUCCCAUCGAAUCCCUUACCCCACGAUAUAUGGACAGCUACGAGAAUACUGGCAUGCGACACACAAUAUCCACAUCAAACGCGUCCUGCUGCUAUCUGUUUUCGUUGGUAUUGGUAUUGGUAGCAAAUACAUGGCUUUCUCCGUUCGAGUAUCAACCGUGACAAACUGAACGAAUACGCAGAAUGCCUUGCUAUAAGAAUUUAUGCUUUGUAUAGUCAAUUAUUAUCGCCGCUCCAUGGCCCCCAUUGGCGGAUUGGUUGACAGAUCUAGAUUACCCCAACUUCCGACUGGCCGAGCAAGCCUUACUGGGCUAAAUUCCCCCCGUCAAAAGGUCGAUCACUCAAUCAGAAUUUACCCGGUUGGACGAUAUGGUAGUCUCGGAUCGGCUAGGAAGGCAGGAGUUGGAACACUCGAAAAUCUAGAAAAGUUGAUAUAUCAAGUUUGGGUUAUUGUCAUGUUUUUAUUCUGUCAACGGGGGCCACGGACAGGUGUAUUUGUCCUGCAAGGACAACGACCAAAAAGAAGAAAAAGCGGCC